CGGGGAACUCGCACAAGCGGUGGAGCAUGCGGUUUAAUUCGAUGCAACCCGAAGAACCUUACCAGGUCUUGACAUCCCAUUGACAGGUUUAGAGAUAAAUCUUUCCUUCGGGACAAUGGAGACAGGUGGUGCAUGGUUGUCGUCAGCUCGUGUCGUGAGAUGUUGGGUUAAGUCCCGCAACGAGCGCAACCCUUAUCAUUAGUUGCUAACAGUAAGAUGAGCACUCUAAUGAGACCGCCGGUGACAAACCGGAUGAAGGUGGGAUGACGUCAAAUCAUCAUGCCCCUUAUGACCUGGGCUACACGCGUGCUACAAUGGCCGGUACAAAGAGUCGCAAAACCGCGAGGUGGAGCUAAUCUCACAAAACCGGUCUCAGUUCAGAUUGUAGUCUGCAACUCGACUACAUGAAGGUGGAAUCGCUAGUAAUCGCAAAUCAGCAUGUUGCGGUGAAUACGUUCUCGAGUCUU
rnacentral:rRNA from 1 species